rnacentral:rRNA from 1 species
UACAGAGGGUGCGAGCGUUAAUCGGAAUUACUGGGCGUAAAGCGUGCGUAGGCGGUUUCGUAAGUCGGGUGUGAAAUCCCCAGGCUCAACCUGGGAAUUGCAUUCGAAACUGCGAGGCUAGGGUACGGAAGAGGGAAGCGGAAUUUCUGGUGUAGCGGUGAAAUGCGUAGAUAUCAGAAGGAACAUCAGUGGCGAAAGCGGCUUCCUGGUCCAGUACCGACGUUCAGGCACGAAAGCGUGGGGAGCAAACAGG